AUUGAACGCUGGCGGCAGGCCUAACACAUGCAAGUCGAACGAGUGGCGGACGGGUGAGUAAUGUCUGGGAAACUGCCCGAUGGAGGGGGAUAACUACUGGAACCGGGAGCUAAUACCGCAUACCAUCGGAUGUGCCCAGCUGGGAUUAGCUAGUGGGUGGGGUAACGGCUCACCUAGGCGACGAUCCCUAGCUGGUUUGAGAGGAUGACAAGCCACACGGGAACGGGGACACGGUCCAGAGGCCUACGGGAGGAAGCAGUGGGGAAGAUGGCAAAAUGGGAGAAAGGCUGAUGCAGCCAUGCCGCGUGUAUGAAGAAGGCCUGCGGGUUGUAAAGUACUUGCAGCGAGGAGGCGUUACUCGCAGAAGAAGCACCGGCUAACUCCGUGCCAGCAGCCGCGGUAAUUC
rnacentral:rRNA from 1 species